UGAGGACAAAACGCGGAAGAUUUAUGGACCCUCAGGGGUCCAUAAAUCAAAACGCGCUAUGUGCGUUUACAAUAUUACCGUUGCAAUAACCAAAAAGACCGAAAUACCCAGCUAUUUCUCUCACGCCCAUCAUCUCUCAUCUCUGCUCUCCCUUCGCAUUUGACGCCUCCAUCUCUUCUCUCUGCUUGCUCUGCCCUCUCCGUACCAAAAACACUGAUCUGCUACCAAAAACCAGAUGGGUAAAAACACAACUUCCAACCCCGAGGCAAAAAAGGCUAGAGCAUUAUGGGAUAAUAAUUCAAGCUGGACCACUACUUUUUGUAAUCUUUGUGUGGAACAGAUUCAAGCUGGACCACUAUUUUUUAUAUAAUAUCCUGUAGUACAAUUUAAACUUGGGUUAUUGGUAUGUAUUUUAUCAUCUUUUUUACAUUUUUGUGUUGUACAAUUUAAACUUAGAUUAUUGAUAUGUAUUUUAUAUGUUUUUACAUUUUUAUGUAGUACAAUUUAAACUUA